CGGGGAUCCUCUUCGGAGGCGUGCACACAGGUGCUGCAUGGCUGUCGUCAGCUCGUGUCGUGAGAUGUUGGGUUAAGUCCCGCAACGAGCGCAACCCACGUCCUUAGUUGCCAUCAUUCAGUUGGGCACUCUAGGGAGACUGCCGGUGAUAAGCCGCGAGGAAGGUGUGGAUGACGUCAAGUCCUCAUGGCCCUUACGGGAUGGGCUACACACGUGCUACAAUGGCGGUGACAGUGGGACGCGAAACCGCGAGGUUGAGCAAAUCCCCAAAAGCCGUCUCAGUUCGGAUUGCACUCUGCAACUCGGGUGCAUGAAGGCGG
rnacentral:rRNA from 2 species